UUCCUAUGAUGAGAUUGCCAUGCUAAUACCGAUGUGCCAGACUGACUGGGUGUAAAUGAGUUCAUCUCACCUUCUCACACUCGCAGUGUGCUCAGAGGAAU
rnacentral:snoRNA from 1 species